rnacentral:misc_RNA from 1 species
GAAAUGCGAUAAGUAAUGUGAAUUGCAGAAUUCAGUGAAUCAUCGAAUCUUUGAACGCACAUUGCGCCCGCCAGUAUUCUGGCGGGCAUGCCUGUUCGAGCGUCAUUUCAACCAUCAAGCCCCCGGGCUUGUGUUGGGGACCUGCGGCCGCCGACUCUCAACUACUUUCUUAGGUUGACCUCGGAUCAGGUAGGGAUACCCGCUGAACUUAA